UUGUAUUAUCUGGCGAAUCCAGGAGACAACCGAUAUAUCGGAACUCUGGAAGUUGGAGGUUUUGAAAUCCAGACCGAAGGCCAAGCCGGACCAGAAACGGACGUCCUAAUCUUAGGACGAGAUUUCCUUGACAAAUAUAAACCAUGGUCAUGGAAAUCAGGAGGAAUGGAGAUUACCAUUGGACGCCAAAGAGUAAUGAUCCAAUGACAAGUCCGUUCUCGAUAUACAUCUCGGUAGGGAUGUUAUAUGAAAAGUACAAAGCAGAAUAUUUUGCUGCUUAUGUGGA
rnacentral:lncRNA from 1 species